UACGUAGGGGGCAAGCGUUGUCCGGAAUCAUUGGGCGUAAAGAGCGUGUAGGCGGCUCGGUAAGUCCGCUCUGAAAGCCCGGGGCUCAACCCCGGGAGGCGGGCGGAUACUGUCGGGCUAGAGUCCGGAAGAGGCGAGUGGAAUUCCUGGUGUAGCGGUGAAAUGCGCAGAUAUCAAGAGGAACACCAAUGGCGAAGGCAGCUCGCUGGGACGGUACUGACGCUGAGACGCGAAAGCGUGGGGAGCAAACAGG
rnacentral:rRNA from 1 species